UAUAUACUCCCUCAGUCCGAAAUUACUUGUCAUAGGAAUGGAUGUAAAACUUAUUUUAGUUCUAGAUACAUCAAUUUCUAUGCAUUUUUGGACAAGUAAUUCCGGACGGCGGGAGUAGUAU
rnacentral:pre_miRNA from 1 species